rnacentral:rRNA from 1 species
GAUGAACGCUGGCGGCGUGCUUAACACAUGCCAGUCGAACGGAAAGGCCCUGCGCUUGUGGGGUGCUCGAGUGGCGAACGGGUGAGUAACACGUGAGUAACCCCUCCCUGACUUUGGGAUAACAUCAGGAAACUGGGGCGCUUACCCGAUAGGAUCUCCUGCAGCACGGUGGGGGUUGGAAAGAUUCGGCGGUUGUGGAUGGAUUCGCGGCUUAUCAGCUUGAUGGUGGGGUAGUGGAUUACCACGUCUUUGAAGGAUAGGCGGCCUGGGAGGGUAGACAGCGUCAAUGCGACUAAGAUACGGAGCAGAAUGCAACGGGAGGCAACAGUCGAGAAUAUUGCGCAGUGGGCGGGAGCCUGUUGCAGCAGCGCCGCGUGCGGGAUGCCGGCCUUCGGGUUGUAAACCACUGUCGCAUGUAACGAAGAGUUCGUGACGGUAAUGGGUAAGGAAGCAACGGCUAACUACGUG